rnacentral:rRNA from 1 species
AUGGAGCUCAAUGUUAAUCUUCGUGCUUCUGAUGGUGAGCUCUUAUCUGAUCCGAUGCGUUAUCGUCAUCUUGUUGGCCGUCUUGUCUAUCUUGCUGUCACCCGUCCAGAUAUCUCCUAUCCUGUUCAUAUUCUGAGUCAGUUUGUUUCCGCUCCCACUUCAGUUCACUAUAGUCACCUUCUUCGUGUUCUACGAUAUCAUCGUGGCACGAUCUCUCAUCGUCUUUUUUUCCACGUUCCAGUUUGUUACAGCUCCAGGCCUAUUCAGAUGCUACGUGGGCAAGUGAUCCUUCAGAUCGUCGUUCUCUUUCUGCUUACUGUGUUUUUCUUGGUGGUUCUCUCAUUGCCUGGAAGACGAAGAAACAGACUGCAGUUUCUCGUUCGAGUGCAGAGGCCGAGUUGA